AAUGUAACUAAAGAUAGACAGCCUGUCACUAGACAAUGUCAAUCAGUAAGAGGUAAUGAGAUUAGGAGAGUGUCUAGACCACAAGGGUAUACAAUCAAGAACCCUUCUAACCAAGGGAUCAACUGCAAACUUGAAGGUGGCUCAAUGUAUUCCUUGAAAAGGAAGACUGAGGUCAUCUCCAUCUCAGUGCACCUCUUGAUGUAGUUUGAUACUGGCCUCAGUCCUGUUAUCAGGACCCCCUUGGAGACCAGUUUAUGUGACCUGAAGUGGCUACAUUCGUCAAGGUGGCGUUUGGUGCACAUGCCCCCUUGCCCACUCGAUAUGCUACUGUAAUACAAAAGGCUGGUGCAAUAAGGUUUGUUGCUUUUAUUACAUGAUGCUGUGCAGGUCUUCUUGAACUCUACCCCUUCCCCAGACAGUAAGUAAUUAGUGUACCACUCUGCAAAGACUUCAAUAAAGUGUUAAAUCAUCAUGCAAUACCAAUAAAUAUGUCAUUUUUGGUGGGUGUGAUUGAAUGAAAUCAGACCCUCAAUGUAUUUAAGUGUAUUUAUCUCAUAAUUUAGGCCAUUUUUCAAUUGUAGGCCAAAUAUGGUCUGUGAAAUAAGAACGAUAUGGCAUUUUAAAGUUUUGGUUAUAUAGUGGUAAAACUUUGGUUAAAUGUAUAUUCACAAAACAGUGAUGUAUAAACACUGGUCGUUAUGUAAAUGAGGGAGCUGAUGAUGUCACAAUCAUAUUUCCUUUGUAUUUUGUUAUAUGAAAUACAUCAACUCAUUGUUCAUUUUUCCUCAUUUUAAUGUAAACAAUGUUUCAAUUUUCAUGAGCAUAUGUAAUUGUCAUUAUUGUAUUUUUUAAAACAAAAAAUGAGAUCUUGUAUAUAUUAAGAACAUGGGGAGUGCGACACCUCUUAGUUUGCUUAACCUGUGUUGUGCAUAACCCAGUGCUUUGUGAAAAUAGGUGAAACUUUGAAAAGUCAUAAUAUUUCUAUUUUACAUCCUGUUUUACAUCCAGCUUUUUUUCUCAAAUUUUUAAAGUAAUUUUCAUAUUUUUCUCUAGUUUCAUAGAAAUCAACUUGUUUUGGGUGACUUGACCAGUACUUACCUUUUAAAAAUCGAAUGAGACCAGCAUGGUUUUUUUUUUUAAUAGUUAAAAGGUGGUGUUAAGAUACUUAAAGGGUUCGUUAAGCCGGCCCCAACAUAACUUUGAUUGGAAUCAAUAGAGAAAAAUCAAACAAGCAUUAUACUUCAAAUUUCAUCAAAAUUGGAUGUAAAAUAUAGAAAUUACUGUAUGACAUUAAAUGAUGCCACUUACUAUUUCCCAAGUUUUAAGGAUUUGACAAUAGGUGAGCUCUUCAUAAAAUCUCAUUAGAUUAAAAAAAAUGCAAUUACACAUGAUCAGGGAGAAGUUAAACUUGUUUCACUUUAUUAUGAGUUAAAAAUUUCAUAUUUCAUAUUAAAAAAUGCAAAAAAAGGAACAGUGAGUAUGUGACAUCAUUGGUUUUAUGUUGGCAUAAUGACCUGGAUGUUGAUAUUGUUUUCUAAAACUAAGUGAAACUUAAGAAUUUCAUUUUGAAUUUUUUUUUUUUUCUAUGCUUAUUCAAUUUAAAGUUUUGUUAUGGUGGACUCGGCCUUUCUGAUGUGCUGUUGAAUGUGCUACAGUAGUUGAUCCUAUUUUUAAGCCUCUGUACAGAUGAAGUCUGGAUUGACUGAUUGACCUGUCUGUAAAUCCUCAAAUUUUGCCUCCAAAUUUAUUAUUCAAAAGAUAAUAGGGCCUACAUGGAUUUUUCAUAUUUAUGGUUGAUAGGUAGAACUCACUUAUAUAAACACACCAGGGUAGAAUUUUGAGACCGUAUUUAUAUGAUUAUGAAUAUAAAUUUUUUAUUGUGAAAUUUCACUAUUGAUAAGUAAUAAUUAUAAAACCUUGAUAUUGUCAUAUAAAAUUUGAUGAAAAUUUAAAAUGAGCUUGAAUAUUUCAAGUUGUUUAUAGAAAUCCUUGAUAUAUUCAAGGUUGUAUAAAGUCUCAAUAGUUUUUAUGUUGACUGUAAUGAGAAAACAGCAAUAUGGCUAUCUUUGAAAAGUCUUGAAAAUAUUUUGUAGAAAGAUUAACAAUCAUCUUCCAGAAAAAGAAGUGGUAUUAUUUCAUGUUCCAGUGGUAAUGAGCUCAGAUUAUUUUAAUGAAGUUCAUCUGUUUUACACUUUGGCAGACUUCAUAUUGUUAUUUUAUCUUACCACAAUUUCUUUAAAUUUCUUUAAGAAAAAAAAUAGUAAUAAUGAUCUGAUUGAAAAAAAAAUAUAUAAAGAAAUGUGUGAUUUUUCCCUAUUCUGUGUAUAUGGGUCAUAGUUGGACUUCACAACCUAACAGAUUUUUUAAGAAAGAAUUUUGUUUAGGUUAUACUGCUGAAUAUAAGAUGCUCCUGAUUGUAAUAGGUCUACUUUUAAAAAGCAUUUUUUUGUUAGGCUGUACUACCUGAAGUUUCAAUAUUAUGAACUAGCAGUUAUUACUUAAGUAAUUGUUAAAGUUAUUUUUAAUAUUUUAUGUUUUCUCAUAUUCAAUCAAUUUAUUAUCAUAAUUAGGCAAUACGUUUAUGUUUGUAAAUGUCAUCAAGUUGUUUAGUUAUAAAGUAUUUUGACCAUUCUUUCUUGAGGUAGGGUGAAAGAAUUGGAACAAUUCUUGUUUUCUUACAACUUGCUGAGUAAGAAAAGUUGAAAAGGUUAAUUCAUGUGCACAGAUUUUGUUUGUCCAAUAUAUCAUGGAGCUUACAAAUUUCUGCAACAAUAAGCAUAGAAACUCAACAACUUUAUGUGCACAAGCAGUUUUUUUUUCUCUGACUGAUAAAUCAGCUGAGAGAAGAAUAAAAAAGUUUGAUAAAACUCCUUGAUAUAGCAGAAAUGUUAUCUCAACAUAUACUGUGUAUGCAUUGAGGUGUCUGAUUUUCAUGGUUGGAGUCUGUGGUAGUAAGAGAGAAACACAUGGGCUAGCUGCCUCAACCAGCUGGACUGCUCAACUUCCACUGUGAUUGGCUGAAUGAGUGACCCUGUGUCAUAUAUCCCAUAAUAAGGGGAUAUAAAGCUCUCCUGCCAUUCAGUGCAAAGUGAGAACCCUGAGCCAGGAAAAGUUAGUUUGGCAGUAGUCUCCACUUUACUAGUACUGAAUUUGGGGUCCCACAAAGAUUGUACCACAAUGUAUAGCUUUGUGGACCUCGCUAUCUGCCACAGGCGGAGAAUCCUUCUGACGUUAUUUGUAUUAUUUGCUGUACAGUCAUUUUCAAAUGGACAAGGUAAGUAGGGAAUACAUUUCCUACUGCUAGUUUUUGAAUGUUUUCUUUUUUUUAAUUUGCUCACCUUGUUUUUUACUUCUCAUUCUUAAAAAAAAAGUGAUAUGUUUUUGUGUUUACAUGUCUUGUACAGUGAAGUGGGACCACUCAUGCAUGAUGGUCUUGCAGGCUUGCUUGUGUUUUAAAACAUUGACCGUCUUCUUCUCUCAUCUCAUAAUACCUGAGGAAGAAGCUUCUCCUUAAGCUUUUUCUAUCAAAAUUUGCAGGAAGGAUGUUUCUUUUACUGCAUUAUUUGAGCUCUAUUACUGGCUCUGUUCUCAAUAUUUAUCUAUAGACUUUUUAAAAUAGUUAUGGUGCUGUCCAACGUUGCACCGCUGCCCUCAAUGAUAAUAUAUAUUUUAUUACUAUAUUUUUUGUCUUUCCAGUUGAGAAGUUGUUAGUUUAGUCAGCCUUGGCAAAGCUAUCUUUGAAUUUGAUCAGUUGAGCCCCCUUAAUUAAAAAUACUCUGUUUAUCAAUGGGUAUGAGUUUACACAACAACUGUUUUAUUUAUUUAUAUUGUUUCUUUUGGUUCCUUUUUAAGUUUUAUAUGUUUAUAUUCCAACAAUUAACAACAUUAGGUUUAGGAUAAAGCCAUCAUUAGUCUCAAAUAGUUCCUGACAACAAUUUUCAAAUGUUUUACCUUGGAAUUUGACAGGGGUGAACAUAUUACAAGAGUGGAUACGGUACCCCGAUAGCUCUGAUAUGUUUGUAUUCAAUGCCGGUGUGUCCCAUUUGGCAUCCGACUCCUUGCUGCGUCUAGCAUGUCUAGGCUGGGCUGUGACCCUUUCCUAGCAUUGUAUAUCACUCAUUCCAUGAUAAUGGAUGAAUCAAUCUACAAUCCAGACGUUGCUGACAGGCAUGACAGUUUUGGAAAAAAAUAUCACACUCCCUAAACCUGAAUGUGCUGUUUGUAACUAAAUGUGUCUCUCUAUUGUUGGUCUACAUCGAGAAUAUUUUUCAAAGAAACUAACUUAAUAUUGGAAAGGAAGUUGCAUUAUAUUCUCCAACUUCCCUUGUUCCAUGCAUCUAAAAAUUCUAAAUGAUAAUUUCUUCAUUUGAUGGUCUGCAUUAUGUGAAUCUAUUAGAAUUUUAUUCUCAAUAUUUGUAGGGAUUAUUGUCAAAUUACUGUGGAUGAGCAUCAUUUCAUCUGUUCAUAAUUAUUUAGGCCUAUAUCCAAAUAAAAGGAUAUUCUAAACAAAAUAUCUUUAUGCUGAGCUUAGCAACUAGGCAUAUUUUGUGGGGAAAUUUUUCUUCCGACAAAAUUGAAUGAAAUUGGUCCAGACAAUAAUUUGAAAAGUUUAGAUCCAUAUCAGCUAGCUUCCCGAAAUUGUAUCAAUUAUUCAUAUAUGACAAAAAAAGUGGACACCUGUAAAAAAAAGAGAUAUUGAUUACUAGUACUAAUUACCUGCAGGAUACACUAAACUUAUCUACUUCCUUUUGGUAUAAAUUUAUCAGUUCAGUGAGUAAUAUACUUCCUGAGUAGGACCUGUGCUAGAAAAAAAAUUUGAUUGGAAAGUUUUGUGUAGCUUGAUUUCAAUCAUCAUGAUCAAUAUGACAUUAGAAUGAUGGAGAAGUAUAAAAUUGUCAAAACAGUUAUGUCAUGAAAGGAUAGGCCUAUGAGAUGAUUCUUUGGAAAGUUUGGGUUCUUCCCAAAAUGAAGUAUAUCCAUCAAGUUUGUCCAACAACCACAAAUUUACAUUCAGCAACAUUAGUAGUCUACAGGAUAAGAUUCAGGAAAUGGUCACCUGAUAAAAUUUCUGCCUGCGUGUGUCUUUUGUCUUUUAUCUCUUUAUGCCUAGACCAGCAAUAUUUCCACCUCCUCAAAAAAGUAAUCCCUUCAGCUUUUCAGCCCUUGGGAGCCACUGGGUCAUACAUAUUGCUGCAGUUGCAGUUUCGUGGAGGAGGGGCGGUCCUAUUCUCUCUCAUUUCCUGCCUGUAUCACUGGCCAUGUCUAUGCCCUUGGCGCAGCCAGACAAUCGGCCUCAUAGGGAAAUGAUAUCUGCACAUGUGCAGUUUGUGUAUUCUCACCAUCAACAGUUUUCUAUCCUCCCCUUUUUUAUGCUAAGGUAGGCUAGUUCAUAUUGUUGCAUCUUUCAACCCAGCACAAACUCAGCAUCAUUGCGGUGCACCCCAACCGAUUUGCUGACUGAGUUAUUUCUCAGUGGUGGGAUGCAGGGCUGUGGUUGGUCGAUUGCUAACCCACUUUUAUUGUUACCUGACUGUAUCUGACCUUGCCUUGAAUUCUCAACUUAAUUUCCGCGAGGAGGCAUAAUUUUUACUUUCUCACUGAAAUAUUAUUUUAGUGUCCUUUAUAUUAUUGGGUAUUUCAGAUAUAUGGGAUGCUUUCACGAUUUCAUUGACAGCUAGAUACAAUUUUUUUUGUUAUUGAUUUAGACAAAGAAAAAUCAUGAGGGCUAUUCUUUUUGCUUUUAGUUGCUAUUA